UACGUAGGGUGCGAGCGUUAAUCGGAAUUACUAGGCGUAAAGCGUGCGCAGGCGGUUUUGUAAGUCAGAUGUGAAAUCCCCGGGCUUAACCUGGGAACUGCGUUUGAAACUACAAGGCUAGAGUGUGGCAGAGGGGGGUGGAAUUCCACGUGUAGCAGUGAAAUGCGUAGAGAUGUGGAGGAACACCGAUGGCGAAGGCAGCCCCCUGGGUUAACACUGACGCUCAGGCACGAAAGCGUGGGGAGCAAACAGG
rnacentral:rRNA from 1 species